GCGAGAGAAAGAAUUAUAUAUAGCAGGAGCACCGCACCAAGAAAGAACGCCACCACCGGCUCAGCUCGGCUCAGUUUUAGUAUAAGGAGGACGGCUCAAGCUCAGCCAGCGAGGGCGUCGGCGCCGGCGACGAUCUCGAGGAUCUCCCCGGUGAUCUUGGCCUGGCGCUGGCGGUUGUAGGCGAUGGAGAGGUUCUUGCGGAGCUCGAUGGCGUUGUCGGUGGCGCUGCUCAUGGCGCUCAUCCGGGCGGCGAGCUCGCUGGCGAGCGACUCCUGCAGGGCGCGGAGGAUCUGGCUGUUGAGGUAGAGCGGGAGCAGCGCGUCGAGGAUCUGCACGGG
rnacentral:lncRNA from 1 species